UGGCGGCAGGCUUAACACAUGCAAGUCGAGCGGGCAUAGCAAUAUGUCAGCGGCAGACGGGUGAGUAACGCGUGGGAACGUACCUUUUGGUUCGGAACAACUGAGGGAAACUUCAGCUAAUACCGGAUAAGCCCUUACGGGGAAAGAUUUAUCGCCGAAAGAUCGGCCCGCGUCUGAUUAGCUAGUUGGUGAGGUAAUGGCUCACCAAGGCGACGAUCAGUAGCUGGUCUGAGAGGAUGAUCAGCCACAUUGGGACUGAGACACGGCCCAAACUCCUACGGGAGGCAGCAGUGGGGAAUAUUGGACAAUGGGCGCAAGCCUGAUCCAGCCAUGCCGCGUGAGUGAUGAAGGCCCUAGGGUUGUAAAGCUCUUUUGUGCGGGAAGAUAAUGACGGUACCGCAAGAAUAAGCCCCGGCUAACUUCGUGCCAGCAGCCGCGGUAAUACGAAGGGGGCUAGCGUUGCUCGGAAUCACUGGGCGUAAAGGGUGCGUAGGCGGGUCUUUAAGUCAGGGGUGAAAUCCUGGAGCUCAACUCCAGAACUGCCUUUGAUACUGAAGAUCUUGAGUUCGGGAGAGGUGAGUGGAACUGCGAGUGUAGAGGUGAAAUUCGUANAUAUUCGCAGGAACACCAGUGGCGAAGGCGGCUCACUGGCCCGAUACUGACGCUGAAGCACGAAAGCGUGGGGAGCAAACAGGAUUANAUACCCUGGUANUCCACGCCGUAAACGAUGAAUGCCANCCGUUAGUGGUUUUACUCACUAGUGGCGCAGCUAACGCUUUAAGCAUUCCGCCUGGGGAGUACGGUCGCAAGAUUAAAACUCAAAGGAAUUGACGGGGGCCCGCACAAGCGGUGGAGCAUGUGGUUUAAUUCGACGCAACGCGCAGAACCUUACCAGCCCUUGACAUCCCGGUCGCGGACUCCAGAGACGGAGUUUUUCAGUUCGGCUGGACCGGAGACAGGUGCUGCAUGGCUGUCGUCAGCUCGUGUCGUGAGAUGUUGGGUUAAGUCUCGCAACGAGCGCAACCCCCGUCCUUAGUUGCUACCAUUUAGUUGAGCACUCUAAGGAGACUGCCGGUGAUAAGCCGCGAGGAAGGUGGGGAUGACGUCAAGUCCUCAUGGCCCUUACGGGCUGGGCUACACACGUGCUACAAUGGCGGUGACAAUGGGAUGCUAAGGGGCGACCCUUCGCAAAUCUCAAAAAGCCGUCUCAGUUCGGAUUGGGCUCUGCAACUCGAGCCCAUGAAGUUGGAAUCGCUAGUAAUCGUGGAUCAGCACGCCACGGUGAAUACGUUCCCGGGCCUUGUACACACCGCCCGUCACACCAUGGGAGUUGGUUUUACCUGAAGACGGUGCGCUAACCGAAAGGGGGCAGCCGGCCACGGUAGGGUCAGCGACUGGGGUGAAGUCGUAACAAGGUAUCC
rnacentral:rRNA from 1 species